AAAUAACCUGUCAAAGCUGAUGGUGAUACUCAGAGGUUAACCUAAUCAGAAAGUGAUUAACCUUCUUCUACUCUAAUACAUCUCUACAAAUAAUCCCAAUUCACUUUCAUCCUUGAUGAAAAUCUGAUUUCUAUGAAGCUUUGACUAAAACUUCUUUUACUUUACUUCAUUUCAUGAUCUAUUCCAUUUCUAUGCCUCAGUUUCCCCAUCUAAUAAAAAAGCAAAAAGCAAUUAGUCUGAGUUACCUAUGUUUGGUCGGUUGAAGUAGUUUGAAUUUUUCUGAAUCAGGGUGAAUGCAAAUUGCCUCGUUAUUUCACUAAUUAAUAAUGUCUGCUUGGAAAUGCGACUAUUAGUGCACAAUAAAUGAUAAGGCUUAUAAUUAUAGAUGAGACCAAUUGCUUCUUUUUUUGUUCUUACCUUCAUUUCAGUUCAUCUUCCUGAGCUAUAGCUACCUCUGUAAGGGGCAGGAAAACAUUUAAAAUAUCUAAACAAUGAUUCCUUUCUCAAGGGUUUGGAAAUUGAUGAAUCAUCCUACUCUGCAGCAUUCAAAGUAACUGUGUGCUUGACACAUAGGAGGAAAAGUGGGCUCUUUGAAAUGUGAGCUGAGCACUGAUCAUGUCACCUGCUCGGUGCGUGACCUGUUCACUUUCCUCCUGACCCUCUGUGCCCAACGUCACCUGGAGCCUGAAACCUGGAAGCGAAAAGUCCUUGACUGGAGUCAGUGGAGAGAAAAUCAUCACCUGCUUGGGCACAAACAUGCCUGGUGACUGCGUCACUGUUUGUUAAAUGUGAUCAGCUAAUAGUUGCACAGCGGGCCUUCAAAGCAUCACGGCAGAACUGAUGAAGUUCCUGUAAUGCACUCCCUGUGUGAAGGCCUUGGACUUUAGAGCUCACGUGCGCCGGGAGCAUUUUGAGCCCGCUGACAGGCUCUCCCAUGGAUUCUAUUUGGUUAAACGGCAGAGGAAAAGAAUUGACUUUCAUUUUCUUCACUCUCUGCCUGAAUGUGUCGACUCCAGCCACACUUCCAUUUCCCAUAUAUUGCAUAGUCUGUUCCCUCUGCUUGGGACACCCUCCCCUCUGGAUUGCAGCAAGAUUUGCUUCUAUGUUUCACUCAGUUAUCUACUUACAAAUCACCUCCUUAGGGACCUUGCAGGCUGCUCUCUUUCUCCUUACCUGGCUUCAUUUUCCUUCACAGCACCUGACACUAUUACACAUACUUACUUAGUAAUCCAUGGUUUGUCUUCCCCACUGGACCAUAAGUUCUCUGAAGCAUUAUCUCAUCAUGAAUUUACUGUGCUCUGUGAUGGCCAAUGUGGCAUCGUGGAAAAAUGGCCCUGUGUAGAAAAGGGUGAUUCUUCUUCGUGAUUGCAGUGGAUCUGUCUUUGAGAGAUCAUUUUAGAAGCUGGCUCAUUGACUGUGCCCACCCAAUCAGCAAAAGGCUAGAAUAUCGCUGCUUCUCCAGUAAAUAAACGGGGAAAGGAAGAUUUGUGUUUAUCUUUGCAAGUCUCCAUUGUAAAUCAUAAUAAGGUGAUUUCAUGUGUCUAAGCAAAAAGAUGACAAAAUGACAUUUUGAGCAAUUUUCUUCUUUCUUCUGAGCAUGCAUAUGGAGUUUAAUUCACUAAUAUAUUUGUCAGAGAAUGAUUAAAAGCAUUGAUUAGUUUCUUAGAGAUUUUAAGUUUCCAUUAUAGAUUUUUAUUAACUUAUUCUGUAUUAGAUAUGGGCUAACAGACCUUUCAUAUAAUGUCUUUAGAAACACUGGAGUUUGCCAAUUUAUUUUAGCAACCAUUCUAUGUGAUAAAACUGGUACACACAUUUAUUUGUACAGUGUAAUAGUUAAACCACAGGCUUCAGAGUCAAGUUGUCUUGGUUUAAUUCUUGACUGUGUCAUUUAAUGAUUAUUUUAAAAUUAAUCAAAUACCCAAACUUUCUGAGUCUCAGUUUUCUCAUUUGUAAAAUGGAGCUAAUAAUGAUACAUAUCUCAUAGUGCCAUCAUAAGGAGAUGAUUAACAUCACAUGGUGUUUUGAACAAAUACCUGCAACACAAGCUCACCACAACAGCAAGAGGAGGUAGCUGUGAAAUUAUUACAGUAGUAUAGUAGGUGCUAGUGUUCGUAUUAUUCAGUUAUGAUUUAAUACUGCAUCUUUAUGUGUGUUUAAAUUUCUCUCAACUGCAAGUGGCGCCGUGUUUGUCUGUGAGUGUUUGUGUGCAUAAGUUUUGAAAAAUUUUAAAUUUUUAUCAUCGAAUUUGAUACAUUUCCUUGUGAUGGGACCAGCAAAAUGUAACACCCCUCCCUACCUUCCCAAAAUUUUUGGAAAUAUUGACAAGGCCCUUGAAUUUACCCCAGAACAUUAUAUUUCAAUUCUAUGUUAAUGGAAAGGCUUGGUAUUUUGGAGUUGACCAGGUUUGACAAACCAUUAGAACACAGCUUCACAUAUGUCACAACAGCUACAUGCCCAGGGAGCUGGGCAGUCACAAAUGAAGAAAGGUUAGUCAGAUCAGAUAAUUAGAGAAGACAUUCUUAGAGACAAUGGAUUUGAAUAAGUCUUUGUUUGUUUUUUAAUUUGUUGUUCCAGCUCCAUUUAUUUUAAAGACUCUUCUUUUGCCCAACACUCUCUGAUGGCAUUUCUGCAAUACAUCAGGGGUGCACAUACAUGUAUAAAUUGAAUCCAUUUUAGUUUCUCCUUCAUCUUCCACUAGUUUAUUUCUACCUAUCCAAACACUGCACUAUCCUAGUUAGUAUAAUCCUAUAAGCCUGGAGGAUAUCUUUCUAAUUUUUAUUCAACAGUAACUUUGCUAUUAUUUUCCAAUUGUGUUGGAACCUAAUACACAUUUUCACUUAUUUUUUUUUUCAGUUAUCUUAUUUUGAAACAGGGUCUUGCUUUGUUGGCCAGGCUGGAGU